rnacentral:lncRNA from 1 species
AUUGGGUCUCGCAGCUGGCAUCUUCAAUUACAACAAUUAUGAACCUUAAAAAGAAUAUCAACAUCAAAUCAGUAAUCCAUAUGAUUCAAGAUUAUUGAUUAUGAUCACAAAAAGUAAUAAACUCAAGCCAGCAGAAAUAAAAUCAGCCAAAACAUGGUUUAAAUGUUCAAUUGCAAUCUCCCCUGACAUAAGUUCAAUCAAGUUGCAAAAUAAACACAUUACUUAGUUUCAAUCUAAAUUUGCUAAAAGUGCAUGAAAUGAAAUUAAAGCAAUCAUCUAUGAAAGUCAUAAUAACAACAGAUCAACCAGAUUUUAUUUUUAAACAAAAAAGAAAUCAAAACUAAUUAGAAACCUAAUUGUUUUUCCUUUUCAACGAAAUAUAUAAAUCAAUCAAUAAAGAAAAAAAAAAUACAAAAGCUAAACAAUAACCGCUAUUUCAAAGCUCAUAAUUUUGAAACUGAAGCUGGAUAUGGCAACUGAAUCAAUCAUUAGGGUUACAAAGGAAGUCAGUUCAAAUCAUCAUGCCAAAACAAACCAUGAACAUCUUAAUCAAGUAUAAAACAUGAAACUAAAACAGAUACAAUGUAUAUAGCGAGAGAGAGGGAGAGAUUUAUGUAUAGGUAGAUUACCUUGAGAAGUUGAGGGUUUUAUGGAAAAGUCUCUAGAGAGAGAAACAAGUGUGGAGAAAAUGAAGGAGUUUCGUAGAGGAACCAAACACCACCAUGCUCUGUGUAUACAUGUCAAGGAAUUGGAGGAGAUCCAUAUUUAUACCCUCUGUUGCCGUUCACGCGGGGUAUUCUGUUG